AGGUGCGCGAGGUGCAGAAAAGGAUGCCCGGCUGCGGAGCUGGCUUGGCCUGAGGAUUAUAAAGAUUCACUAGACAACUCCUGAAAACGGACUAAAUCCAACUCUCCCAGAAAACAGUGCCAGCUUCCAUAUGGAAUCGCAUCACAGCACGCUCUUGGCAAUGCUGACAAAAUCUCUACAUGACAUUUGGGGAUGAAGUCUGGAGAGCCCUCAGCCAAAAAUGGUCAGAUAGGACUAAAGAACAGCUGCCUACAUGUCAAGUCCAAAGUCUUCACAAUC